UACAGGUGGGUGAGGAGAAAAUCCUAAGGCGAUUGAGAGAACUCUCUCCAAGGAACUCGGCAAAUUACCACCGUAACUUCGGAAGAAGGUGGGCCCUCCGUAGGUGUAGUCGUACAGACGAAGCCGAUGAGGGUUGCAGAGAAAUGGCGGUAGCGACUGUUUACCAAAAACACAGGACUCUGCGAAGACGACAAGUCGACGUAUAGGGUCUGACUCCUGCCCGGUGCUGGAAGGUUAAGGGGAUUCGUCAGCCGCAAGGCGAAGCGAUGAUCCGAAGCCCCAGUAAACGGCGGCCGUAACUAUAACGGUCCUAAGUUAGCGAAAUUCCUUGUCGGGUAAGUUCCGACCUGCACGAAUGGAGUAACGACUUCCGCGCUGUCUCGGAGAGGGACUCAGCGAAAUUGAAAUAGCUGUGCCGAUGCAGUUUACCCGCAGCAAGACGGAAAGACCCCGUGAACCUUUACUACAACUUGACAGUGACACUAGGGAUUGACUGUGUAGGAUAGGUGGGAGCCUUUGAAACCGGGCCGCUAGGUUCGGUGGAGGCAACGGUGAAAUACCACCCUGUUGAUUUCUGGUGUCUAACCGUGUCCCAUAAUCUGGGAUCGGGACACUGUCUGGUGGGUAGUUUGACUAGGGCGGUCGCCUCCCAAAGCGUAACGGAGGCGCGCGAUGGUUCCCUCAGCCCGAUUGGAAACCGGGCGGCGAGUGCAAUGGCAUAAGGGAGCUUAACUGCGAGACAGACAUGUCGAGCAGGUGCGAAAGCAGGUCAUAGUGAUCCGGUGGUUCUGAAUGGAAGGGCCAUCGCUCAACGGAUAAAAGGUACUCCGGGGAUAACAGGCUUAUCUCCUCCAAGAGUUCACAUCGACGAGGAGGUUCGGCACCUCGAUGUCGGCUCAUCGCAUCCUGGGGCUGGAGCAGGUCCCAAGGGUUUGGCUGUUCGCCAAUUAAAGCGGUACGCGAGCUGGGUUCAAAACGUCGUGAGACAGUUUGGUCCCUAUCUGCUGUGGGCGUAGGAUACUUGAGAGGAUCUGUCCUUAGUACGAGAGGACCGGGAUGGAGACACCUCUGGUGUACCAGUUGUCACGCCAGUGGCAUCGCUGGGUAGCCAUGUGUCGAUUGGAUAACCGCUGAAAGCAUCUAAGCGGGAAACCGACCUCAAGAAUAGGUAUCCCGGGGGAAACCCCCUGAAGACCCGUCGAAGACUACGACGUUGAUAGGCCGGGUGUGUAAGCGUGGCAACACGUUGAGCUAACCGGUACUAAUUGGUCGUGCGGCUUACUUAC
rnacentral:rRNA from 1 species